GCAAUCGUUUAGUCGGCAGAGCGUGAGACUCUUCAUCUUAGGGUUGUGGGUUUGAGUCCCACAUCGGGACUCUGCA